rnacentral:rRNA from 1 species
ACUCAAAGGAAUAGACGGGGACCCGCACAAGCAGUGGAGCGCUUGGUUUAAUUCGAUGCUAACCGAAGAACCUUACCAGGGCUUGAACUGUAGCUGUACCUCUCCAGAAAAGGAGAGGGUCUUCGAGAGCGCUACAGAGGUGCUGCAUGGCUGUCGUCAGCUCGUGUCGUGAGAUGUAGGGUUAAGUCCCACAACGAGCGCAACCCCUAUCCAGUGUUAGAAUUACUCUGGAGACUGCCUUGCCAAAACGGGGAGGAAGGUGGGGACGACGUCUAGUCAUCAUAGCCCUUACGUCCUGGGCUACACAAGCGCUACAAUGGCCGGUACACCGGGUAGCCAAACAGCAAUGUGGAGCUAAUCCCAUAAAACCGGUCCCAGUUCAGAUUGUCGGCUGAAAUUCGCCGGCAUGAAGUCGGAAUUGCUAGUAAUCGUGGAUCAGCAUGCCGCGGUGAAUACGUUCUCGGGUCUUGUACACACCGCCCGU